UACGGAGGGUGCGAGCGUUGUCCGGAAUCACUGGGCGCAAAGGGCGCGUAGGUGGCGCGGCAAGUCAACGGUGAAAGCUCGACGCUCAACGUCGAGUCGGCCGUCGAUACUGCUGGGCUUGAGCACUGUAGAGGCAGAUGGAAUUCCGGGUGUAGCGGUGGAAUGCGUAGAGAUCCGGAAGAACACCGGUGGCGAAGGCGGUCUGCUGGGCAGUAGCUGACACUGAGGCGCGACAGCGUGGGGAGCAAACAGG
rnacentral:rRNA from 1 species